rnacentral:lncRNA from 1 species
UCUAUAAUUCUACUCAACAAAGGGUGUUUGUUGGUAGGCAUGCCAUUUUUUUAGAGAAAGAGUCUACCAAGAAGGAGACAAUGGGAGAUCUGUUGAACUUGAGAAAAUUCAAAAUCUACAAUCAAUCCAGGAUUUACCAGAUAGUUCUGAACCAGAUGUACCCAUUGUUGAGGUACAGCCACUACACACACCUCCUCUCUGA